GAUGAAGAACGUAGCGAAAUGCGAUAAGCAGUGUGAAUUGCAGAAUUCAGUGAAUCAUCGAAUCUUUGAACGCACAUUGCGCCCUUUGGUAUUCCUUAGGGCAUGCCUGUUCGAGCGUCAUUUAAACCUUCAAGCUAAGCUUGGUGUUGGGUGACUGUCCGCUUCACUGCGGACUCGCCUCAAAAUUAUUGGCGGCCGGUACAUUGGCUUCGAGCGCAGCAGAAACGCGAACUCGGGCCCGUCGUAUUGGCUCCCAGAAGCUAUCUUCACAAUUUUGACCUCGGAUCAGGUAGGGAUACCCGCUGAACUUAAGCAUAUCAAUAAGCGGAGGA
rnacentral:misc_RNA from 1 species